UCUCCAUGUUUGAUUUUCUCCUGGUCACUUAGGCAUACUCUGUCUCAUACAGUGUGUAUUUUCUAGCCCGUGUUUUGGGACAAACUCCAGUUUGCCAGGAAUUGGUUCCCUCUGUGCACGUCUCUGAGCUGUGGCUGCAAAAUGUAUCCUUCUUCUGUCCUCCACACACAGCCAGGAGAGAUGUGGCUUUUUUCCCAUACAAGGUUAUUGUUCAUCAUGCCUUUCAGUUUAGUUGGGCACUGUCUUUGAUCUGUAAACUCUCUUCCCACACAUGCUUCAGGACAUCUAAAAAUGCAGCUUCCCUUAAUUCCCUGAUCCUUCCACUUUGUUCUCAAAGGGACCAUUCUGGAUGGUGCCGGGGGAUUUCUUCCUUAUUUUAUUAUAUCCAACCUCCUGAGUUCCUGAUCUGCUUUGAAUGGCCAGUAUUAAGUUCCAGUAAAGCACUCACUCCUUUAUUUUGUUCACCCACCUUGCUGAGAAGCUGCCUAUUUGCUUUCUUUUGUUUCUCACCAUGGAGCAAACAGGAAAGCAUCAUUCUCUAUUUCAUGGUCUCAAAGUCACUUACUCCAAAUUCCUGAGAUUCAUCCACCCCCUGCCUGCCUGGGCCAGAAGAGACCUUGAAAGUGCCUCCUCCUUCAUGCUUCAGCUCUUCAAUCAGGACUGUUGAGAACAUCCCGAUCCCUCCUAGCCACCUCA
rnacentral:lncRNA from 1 species